rnacentral:lncRNA from 1 species
CUUUUGAAGAGAAAGAAAAGUUUAGACGCUUGAAUAGCUACAGUCACAAUGAAAGGUGGGACGCCUACCACAGCAUGACUUUUGCCAAGCGGUGCCAUGUCCGCACCCGGGAUCCGAACCAGCAAACCCCGGGCCUCCGAGAAGCGGAAUGUGCGAACUUAACCACUGUGCCACCGGGCCGGCCCCCAGAUGUAAACUGAUGUUCCCGGUUUGCAGAUGUUGCUACCUUGCAGAGAAAUUAACACACUUGCCCCAAGACCCCUGCAAAUUGUUCCAGCUCCAAGCGUCCUAAAGCUACCUUAAGCUCAUUAGCAUCUUAAAUUCUCCUCCUCUGGGAGGGUCCCAGCCCCCAUUUCCAGAUCAGGGGGUGUACACAGUGGCAUGUUUACCUGCUACACAUGUGCCCUGAAAGAGCACAGUUGUUACAUGGCUGUUACAAAUAGACCUGUUUCCUCUGCUCUCUUGUGGAUGAAGUCUCCAGGGGCACUGAGCCCGGAGAGACACUGCGUUGGGUAACAUCCCAGGUGUUCUCCAUUGCUUGUGCAGGCAAUAAAGCUUUUCUUCACCCA